rnacentral:rRNA from 1 species
UACGAAGGUGGCAAGCGUUACUCGGAAUUACUAGGCGUAAAGGGCAGGCAGGUGGUUUGGUAAGUCUAUUGUUAAAGCUCCUGGCUUAACUGGGAGAGGUCAAUAGAUACUGCCGAGCUUGAGUAUGGGAGAGGGUACUGGAAUUCCCGGUGUAGCGGUGAAAUGCGCAGAGAUCGGGAGGAACACCUAUGGCGAAAGCAGGUACCUGGACCAUUACUGACACUCAGCUGCGAAAGCUAGGGGAGCAAACAGG